rnacentral:tRNA from 1 species
CCAUCGAGGAUGGGAAUCGAACCCACAAUGUUCCGCUUACCGGGCAGAUGCCAUGUCCACUAGGCUACUCGGAACU